rnacentral:misc_RNA from 1 species
GUUCAAGCACUCGAUAGCCCUUUUAAACAUAUUUUAUAUUAUCUAUUAACUUUAAAUAAUAAAUCAUUCUAUUGUGUGUGAAUUAUUAUUUCUCCUCUAAGGUUUAAAAAAUAUACAACAUUAUUCUUGCAUUUUUUUAAAAAUGAAUUAAAAUGUCUUUAAUAUUUUAUUACGUUAACUAAUUAGUCAUUUUGAUAAAUUUUUGUACAAUUUACCAUUUGCUCAGACUUCAAAGGCAAAAUAAUCAUUUUUUUUUUGUCAAUUAUCAUCUUGAACCUAUGAACCUAACUAAGAGAAUGGACUAUUCAACCUAGUUAGAAUCAA